CACGUAGGGGACGCGCGUUGUCCGGAUUCAUUGGGCGUAAAGCGCGCGUAGGCGGCUCGGAAAGUCGGUCGUGAAAUGCCGGGGCUCAACCCCGGGACUGCGUCCGAUACUCUCGAGCUGGAGGCAGGUAGGGGAGAUCGGAAUUCCUGGUGUAGCGGUGAAAUGCGCAGAUAUCAGGAGGAACACCGGUGGCGAAGGCGGAUCUCUGGGACGGUACGGACGCUGAGACGCGAAAGCGUGGGGAGCGAACAGG
rnacentral:rRNA from 1 species